AACGAACGCUGGCGGCAGGCUUAACACAUGCAAGUCGAGCGCCCCGCAAGGGGAGCGGCAGACGGGUGAGUAACGCGUGGGAAUCUACCCAUCUCUACGGAAUAGCGCAUGGAAACGUGUGCUAAUACCGUAUACGUCCUUCGGGAGAAAGAUUUAUCGGAGAUGGAUGAGCCGGCGUUGGAUUAGCUAGUUGGUGGGGUAAAGGCCUACCAAGGCGACGAUCCAUAGCUGGUCUGAGAGGAUGGUCAGCCACACUGGGACUGAGACACGGCCCAGACUCCUACGGGAGGCAGCAGAGGGGGAUAGUGGAAAGUGGGGGCAAGCAUGAUCGAGCCAUGCCGCGUGAGUGAUGAAGGCCGUAGGGUUGGAAAGCUCGUGCACCGGUGAAGAUAAUGACGGUAACCGGAGAAGAAGCCCCGGCUAACUUCGUGCCAGCCGCCGCAGUAAAAC
rnacentral:rRNA from 1 species